rnacentral:rRNA from 1 species
GAUGAACGCUGGCGGCGUGCCUAACACAUGCAAGUCGAGCGAAGCGAUUUCGAGGAAGUUUUCGGAUGGAAUUGGAAUUGACUGAGCGGCGGACGGGUGAGUAACGCGUGGGUAACCUGCCUCAUACAGGGGGAUAACAGUUAGAAAUGACUGCUAAUACCGCAUAAGCGCACAGGACCGCAUGGUCGAGUGUGAAAAACUCCGGUGGUAUGAGAUGGACCCGCGUCUGAUUAGCUGGUUGGUGGGGUAACGGCCUACCAAGGCGACGAUCAGUAGCCGACCUGAGAGGGUGACCGGCCACAUUGGGACUGAGACACGGCCCAAACUCCUACGGGAGGCAGCAGUGGGGAAUAUUGCACAAUGGGGGAAACCCUGAUGCAGCGACGCCGCGUGAGUGAAGAAGUAUUUCGGUAUGUAAAGCUCCAUCAGCAGG